rnacentral:rRNA from 1 species
AUUGAACGCUGGCGGCAUGCUUUACACAUGCAAGUCGAACGGUAACAGGGUGCUUGCACCGCUGACGAGUGGCGAACGGGUGAGUAAUGCGUCGGAACGCACCGAGUAAUGGGGGAUAACGCAGCGAAAGCUGUGCUAAUACCGCAUACGCUCUGAGAAGGAAAGCGGGGGACCUUCGGGCCUCCCGUUAUUCGAGCGGCCGACGUCUGAUUAGCUAGUAGGUGAGGUAAGAGCUCACCUAGGCGACGAUCAGUAGCGGGUCUGAGAGGAUGAUCCGCCACACUGGGACUGAGACACGGCCCAGACUCCUACGGGAGGCAGCAGUGGGGAAUUUUGGACAAUGGGCGCAGCCUGAUCCAGCCAUGCCGCGUGUCUGAAGAAGGCCUUCGGGUUGUAAAGGACUUUUGUCAGGGAGGAAAUCCCUAGUGCUAAUAACACUGGGGGAUGACAGUACCUGAAGAAUAAGCACCGGCUAACUACGUGCCAGCAGCCGCCGCAG